rnacentral:rRNA from 1 species
AGAAUCAACGCUGGCGGCGUGCCUAACACAUGCAAGUCGAACGAGAAAGUGGAGCAAUCCAUGAGUAAAGUGGCGCACGGGUGAGUAACACGUGACUAACCUACCUUUUAGUGGGGGAUAACCUAGGGAAACCUGGGCUAAUACCGCAUAAUACCUACGGGUCAAAGCAGCAAUGCGCUGAAAGAGGGGGUCACGGUCGAUUAGUUAGUUGGCAGGGUAAUGGCCUACCAAGACUGUGAUCGAUAUCCGGCCUGAGAGGGCGCACGGACACACUGGAACUGAAACACGGUCCAGACUCCUACGGGAGGCAGCAGUGGGGAAUUUUGCGCAAUGGGGGAAACCCUGACGCAGCAACGCCGCGUGGAGGAUGAAGUCCCUUGGGACGUAAACUCCUUUCGAUCGGGACGAUAAUGACGGUACCGGAAGAAGAAGCCCCGGCUAACUUCGUGCCAGCAGCCGC